AUACGGAGGAUCCGAGCGUUAUCCGGAUUUAUUGGGUUUAAAGGGUGCGCAGGCGGCCAUUUAAGUCAGCGGUUAAAUCGUGGGGCUCAACCCCAUUCUGCCGUGGAUACUGGGUGGCUUGAUUGCGGUCGAGGCUGGCGGGAUUUCUUGGUGAGGGGGUAAAUGCAUAGAAAUGACGAAGAACACCGAUUGCGUAGGCAGCUGACCAGACCGCAAAUGACGCUCAUGCACGAAAGUGCGGGGAUCGAACAGGAUUAGAUACCCUGGUAGUCCGCACAGUAAACGAUGAAUACUUGUUUUCGGCGAUAUAAUGUCGGAGGCAAAGCGAAAGCGAUAAGUAUUCCACCUGGGGAGUACGCCGGCAACGGUGAAACUCAAAUGAAUUGACGGGG
rnacentral:rRNA from 1 species